AUUGAACGCUGGCGGCAUGCCUUACACAUGCAAGUCGAACGGCAGCGGGGGAGAAGCUUGCUUUUCCUGCCGGCGAGAGGCGAACGGGUGAGUAAUACAUCGGAACGUGCCCUGUAGUGGGGGAUAACUAGUCGAAAGAUUAGCUAAUACCGCAUACGACCUGAGGGUGAAAGUGGGGGACCGCAAGGCCUCAUGCUAUAGGAGCGGCCGAUGUCUGAUUAGCUAGUUGGUGGGGUAAAGGCCUACCAAGGCGACGAUCAGUAGCUGGUCUGAGAGGACGAUCAGCCACACUGGGACUGAGACACGGCCCAGACUCCUACGGGAGGCAGCAGUGGGGAAUUUUGGACAAGGAGCGAAAGCGUGAUCCAGCAAUGCAGCGUGUGUGAAGAAGGCCUUCGGGUUGUAAAGCACUUUUGUCCGGAAAGAAAUGGCUCUGGUUAAUACCUGGGGUCGAUGACGGUACCGGAAGAAUAAGGACCGGCUAACUACGUGCCAGCCGCCGCUGUAA
rnacentral:rRNA from 1 species